ACUCCUACGGGAGGCAGCAGUGGGGAAUUUUCCGCAAUGGGCGAAAGCCUGACGGAGCAACGCCGCGUGAGGGAUGAAGGCCUCUGGGCUGUAAACCUCUUUUCUCAAGGAAGAAGAUCUGACGGUACUUGAGGAAUAAGCCACGGCUAAUUCCGUGCCAGCAGCCGCGGUAAUACGGGAGUGGCAAGCGUUAUCCGGAAUCAUUGGGCGUAUAGCGUCCGCAGGUGGCUUUGUAAGUCUGCCGUUAAAGCGUGGAGCUUAACUCCAUUUCAGCGGUGGAAACUACAAAGCUUGAGUGUGGUAGGGGCAGAGGGAAUUCCCGGUGUAGCGGUGAAAUGCGUAGAUAUCGGGAAGAACACCAGUGGCGAAGGCGCUCUGCUGGGCCAUAACUGACACUCAUGGACGAAAGCCAGGGGAGCGAAAGGGAUUAGAUACCCCUGUAGUCCUGGCCGUAAACGAUGAACACUAGGCGUCGGGGGAAUCGACCCCCUCGGUGUCGUAGCCAGCGCGUUAAGUGUUCCGCCUGGGGAGUACGCACGCAAGUGUGAAACUCAAAGGAAUUGACGGGGGCCCGCACAAGCGGUGGAGUAUGUGGUUUAAUUCGAUGCAACGCGAAGAACCUUACCAGGGUUUGACAUCCUGCGAACCCCUGAGAAAUCGGGGGGUGCCUUCGGGAACGCAGUGACAGGUGGUGCAUGGCUGUCGUCAGCUCGUGUCGUGAGAUGUUGGGUUAAGUCCCGCAACGAGCGCAACCCACGUCUUUAGUUGCCAGCAUUCAGUUGGGCACUCUAGAGAGACCGCCGGUGAUAAACCGGAGGAAGGUGUGGAUGACGUCAAGUCAUCAUGCCCCUUACAUCCUGGGCUACACACGUACUACAAUGCUACGGACAAAGGGCAGCAAACUCGCGAGAGCAAGCAAAUCCCAUAAACCGUGGCUCAGUUCAGAUCGUAGGCUGCAACUCGCCUACGUGAAGGAGGAAUCGCUAGUAAUCGCAGGUCAGCAUACUGCGGUGAAUACGUUCCCGGGCCUUGUACACACCGCCCGUCACACCAUGGAAGUUAGCCACGCCCGAAGUCGUUACUCCAACCCUUGUGGAGGAGGAUGCCGAAGGUGGGGCUGAUGACUGGGGUGAAGUCGUAACAAGGUAGCCGUACCGGAAGGUGCGGCUGGAUCACCUCCUAACAGGGAGACAAAAAGUAACGUUGAUGUUACCCCAUUGUGGUAAACCGAUGUUCUGUCAUCUCGAAGGUCGAUCGGUUACCUCGAGGAAUAACAGUGAAGAGAUUCAACUAAAGUUCUUUUCAGUUUCUCAACUUUUGUCUAGGUCACCCCAAAGGUGAGCGAUGAAGAAUCGCAAAGCUGAGGUUGGACGCUCCUGGGCCAUUAGCUCAGGUGGUUAGAGCGCACCCCUGAUAAGGGUGAGGUCCCUGGUUCAAGUCCAGGAUGGCCCAUUCGUGUUUGGGGGUUUAGCUCAGUUGGUAGAGCGCCUGCUUUGCAAGCAGGAUGUCAGCGGUUCGAGUCCGCUAACCUCCAUCAACAUGAUCAGAAGCAAACCUCUGGACCAUAGGAGCAUGAUUCUGUGAAUGAUCUAGAUAAAAAUUCUUGAAUAAGGUGAUGAAGAGUCUAGCAUCAUUUCAUUCCCAAAUGUUUGAUACAAAACAUGGGUUGAAACGACGCUGGGUUCACCAGAUUUUUGCACGUGAUGUGUAAGUUUCUGGAGAUUCACCAGGACCUUGACAACUGCAUAGGUGAGUCUGGAAAGAAAGCAUCUCAUAGAUGUCCAGAAGCGCAAGCGACUGGAAAAUUCUUGAGUUUAGAGCCGAGUAUCCAGGACAAAAGAUUAAUCCAAAGAUUAAGAUUUUGUUUUGGAUUAUAAUGGUCAAGCUACAAAGGGCUCACGGUGGAUACCUWGGCACACAGAGGCGADG
rnacentral:sRNA from 1 species